UACGGAGGGUGCAAGCGUUAUCCGGAUUCACUGGGUUUAAAGGGUGUGUAGGCGGGUAUUUAAGUCAGGGGUGAAAUCUCCAGGCUCAACCUGGAAACUGCCAUUGAUACUAUUUAUCUUGAAUUCUGUUGAGGUGGGCGGAAUACAUCAUGUAGCGGUGAAAUGCUUAGAUAUGAUGUAGAACACCGAUUGCGAAGGCAGCUCACUAAACAGACAUUGACGCUGAGGCACGAAAGCGUGGGGAUCAAACAGG
rnacentral:rRNA from 1 species